rnacentral:rRNA from 1 species
UAAUUUGAGAGUUUGAUCCUGGCUCAGGACGAACGCUGGCGGCGUGCCUAAUACAUGCAAGUCGAACGAACUCUGGUAUUGAUUGGUGCUUGCAUCAUGAUUUACAUUUGAGUGAGUGGCGAACUGGUGAGUAACACGUGGGAAACCUGCCCAGAAGCGGGGGAUAACACCUGGAAACAGAUGCUAAUACCGCAUAACAACUUGGACCGCAUGGUCCGAGUUUGAAAGAUGGCUUCGGCUAUCACUUUUGGAUGGUCCCGCGGCGUAUUAGCUAGAUGGUGGGGUAACGGCUCACCAUGGCAAUGAUACGUAGCCGACCUGAGAGGGUAAUCGGCCACAUUGGGACUGAGACACGGCCCAAACUCCUACGGGAGGCAGCAGUAGGGAAUCUUCCACAAUGGACGAAAGUCUGAUGGAGCAACGCCGCGUGAGUGAAGAAGGGUUUCGGCUCGUAAAACUCUGUUGUUAAAGAAGAACAUAUCUGAGAGUAACUGUUCAGGUAUUGACGGUAUUUAACCAGAAAGCCACGGCUAACUACGUGCCAGCAGCCGCGGUAAUACGUAGGUGGCAAGCGUUGUCCGGAUUUAUUGGGCGUAAAGCGAGCGCAGGCGGUUUUUUAAGUCUGAUGUGAAAGCCUUCGGCUCAACCGAAGAAGUGCAUCGGAAACUGGGAAACUUGAGUGCAGAAGAGGACAGUGGAACUCCAUGUGUAGCGGUGAAAUGCGUAGAUAUAUGGAAGAACACCAGUGGCGAAGGCGGCUGUCUGGUCUGUAACUGACGCUGAGGCUCGAAAGUAUGGGUAGCAAACAGGAUUAGAUACCCUGGUAGUCCAUACCGUAAACGAUGAAUGCUAAGUGUUGGAGGGUUUCCGCCCUUCAGUGCUGCAGCUAACGCAUUAAGCAUUCCGCCUGGGGAGUACGGCCGCAAGGCUGAAACUCAAAGGAAUUGACGGGGGCCCGCACAAGCGGUGGAGCAUGUGGUUUAAUUCGAAGCUACGCGAAGAACCUUACCAGGUCUUGACAUACUAUGCAAAUCUAAGAGAUUAGACGUUCCCUUCGGGGACAUGGAUACAGGUGGUGCAUGGUUGUCGUCAGCUCGUGUCGUGAGAUGUUGGGUUAAGUCCCGCAACGAGCGCAACCCUUAUUAUCAGUUGCCAGCAUUAAGUUGGGCACUCUGGUGAGACUGCCGGUGACAAACCGGAGGAAGGUGGGGAUGACGUCAAAUCAUCAUGCCCCUUAUGACCUGGGCUACACACGUGCUACAAUGGAUGGUACAACGAGUUGCGAACUCGCGAGAGUAAGCUAAUCUCUUAAAGCCAUUCUCAGUUCGGAUUGUAGGCUGCAACUCGCCUACAUGAAGUCGGAAUCGCUAGUAAUCGCGGAUCAGCAUGCCGUGGUGAAUACGUUCCCGGGCCUUGUACACACCGCCCGUCACACCAUGAGAGUUUGUAACACCCAAAGUCGGUGGGGUAACCUUUUAGGAACCAGCCGCCUAAGGUGGGACAGAUGAUUAGGGUGAAGUCGUAACAAGGUAGCCGUAGGAGAACCUGCGGCUGGAUCACCUCCUUU